UACGAAGGGGGCUAGCGUUGCUCGGAAUUAUUGGGCGUAAAGGGCGCGUAGGCGGAUAGUUCAGUCGGGGGUGAAAGCCCGGGGCUCAACCUCGGAACUGCCUUCGAUACUGGCUAUCUUGAGUACGGGAGAGGUGUGUGGAACUCCGAGUGUAGAGGUGAAAUUCGUAGAUAUUCGGAAGAACACCAGUGGCGAAGGCGACACACUGGCCCGUUACUGACGCUGAGGCGCGAAAGCGUGGGGAGCAAACAGG
rnacentral:rRNA from 1 species